rnacentral:rRNA from 1 species
UACGAAGGAUGCAAGCGUUGUUCGGAUUCACUGGGCGUAAAGGGUGCGUAGGUGGUGAGGUAAGUCGGAUGUGAAAGCUCGGAGCUCAACUCCGAAAUGGCAUUGGAAACUACCUUGCUAGAGGGUUGGAGGGGGGACUGGAAUACUUGGUGUAGCAGUGAAAUGCGUAGAUAUCAAGUGGAACACCAGUGGCGAAGGCGAGUCCCUGGACAACUCCUGACACUGAGGCACGAAAGCUAGGGGAGCAAACAGG